UCUUAUGGAUGAGCAAAGAAAGUGGUUUAUUAAGAUGGAAUCUUCUCCUGAUGAGGAUGUUGUGAA
rnacentral:pre_miRNA from 1 species